rnacentral:rRNA from 1 species
AGUGAACGCUGGCGGUAGGCCUAACACAUGCAAGUCGAACGGCAGCACAGUAAGAGCUUGCUCUUACGGGUGGCGAGUGGCGGACGGGUGAGGAAUACAUCGGAAUCUACUUUUUCGUGGGGGAUAACGUAGGGAAACUUACGCUAAUACCGCAUACGACCUACGGGUGAAAGCAGGGGAUCUUCGGACCUUGCGCGAUUGAAUGAGCCGAUGUCGGAUUAGCUAGUUGGCGGGGUAAAGGCCCACCAAGGCGACGAUCCGUAGCUGGUCUGAGAGGAUGAUCAGCAACACUGGAACUGAGACACGGUCCAGACUCCUAAGGGAGGCAGCAGUGGGGAAUAUUGGACAAUGGGCGCAAGCCUGAUCCAGCCAUACCGCGUGGGUGAAGAAGGCCUUCGGGUUGUAAAGCCCUUUUGUUGGGAAAGAAAAGCAGCAGGUUAAUACCCCGCUGUUCUGACGGUACCCAAAGAAUAAGCACCGGCUAACUUCGUG